UACGUAGGGGGCUAGCGUUGUCCGGAUUUAUUGGGCGUAAAGAGCGUGUAGGCGGCCAGGUAGGUCUGCUGUGAAAACUCGAGGCUCAACCUCGAGACGUCGGCGGAAACCAUCUGGCUAGAGUCCGGAAGAGGAGAGUGGAAUUCCUGGUGUAGCGGUGGAAUGCGCAGAUAUCAGGAGGAACACCAAUAGCGAAGGCAGCUCGCUGGGACGUUACUGACACUAAGGCGCGAAAGCGUGGGGAGCGAACAGG
rnacentral:rRNA from 1 species